rnacentral:misc_RNA from 1 species
CAACCCUCAAGCUCCGCUUGGUGUUGGGGCCCUACAGCUGAUGUAGGCCCUCAAAGGUAGUGGCGGACCCUCCCGGAGCCUCCUUUGCGUAGUAACUUUACGUCUCGCACUGGGAUCCGGAGGGACUCUUGCCGUAAAACCCCCCAAUUUUCC